GUUUGUAACACCCAAAGCCGGUGGGGUAACCUUUUAGGAGCUAGCCGUCUAAGGUGGGACAGAUGAUUAGGGUGAAGUCGUAACAAGGUAGCCGUAGGAGAACCUGCGGCUGGAUCACCUCCUUUCUAAGGAAUAAUACGGAACCGCACACGAGUCAAAGUUUUGUUUAGUUUUGAGAGGUCUACUCUCACUUUUGUUCUUUGAAAACUGAAUAAUAUCUAUAAUUUUCUAAUUUUAAUUAAUCAUAAUUAAACCGAGAGAAAACCGCGUAAUUUAAAGAGUUAAACAAGAUUAGUUCAAAAUAAUCGCAAUACUCAAUUAAUCGCUUUACCGUAGGUAAAGUUAGGUUAAGUUAGGAAGGGCGCAUGGUGGAUGCCUUGGUACUAGGAGCCGAUGAAGGACGGGACUAACACCGAUAUGCCUCGGGGAGCUGUAAGUAAGCUUUGAUCCGGGGAUUUCCGAAUGGGGCAACCCAAUAGUUUUAAUCGACUAUUAUCCGCAUCUGAAUUCAUAGGAUGUGGAAGGUAA
rnacentral:misc_RNA from 1 species